AAUGAGGCAAAUCUAGAUCACCUUCGCAAUUGCGCGGGUAUCUUCUCUACGUAUAAAGUGUCUAGUCUUCCCUUGGGAGCUUCAUUUAAAGCCAAAUCUAUUUGGGAUGACAUCAUUGAGAAGUUGGUGUGGCCAAUCGCCUAAAAUAGU